AGUGAACGCUGGCGGCAGGCCUAACACAUGCAAGUCGAGCGGCAGCGCGUCCGACCACCCUCGGGUGGUCGGAUGGCGGCGAGCGGCGGACGGGUGAGGAAUGCAUCGGAAUCUGCCUCGUUGUGGGGGAUAACGUAGGGAAACUUACGCUAAUACCGCAUACGACCUACGGGUGAAAGUGGGGGACCUUCGGGCCUCACGCGAUGAGAUGAGCCGAUGCCGGAUUAGCUAGUUGGCGGGGUAAAGGCCCACCAAGGCGACGAUCCGUAGCUGGUCUGAGAGGAUGAUCAGCCACACUGGAACUGAGACACGGUCCAGACUCCUACGGGAGGCAGCAGUGGGGAAUAUUGGACAAUGGGGCAACCCUGAUCCAGCCAUGCCGCGUGUGUGAAGAAGGCCU
rnacentral:rRNA from 1 species